rnacentral:rRNA from 1 species
GGUUAAGUUAGAAAGGGCGCACGGUGGAUGCCUUGGCACUAGGAGCCGAAGAAGGACGGGACUAACACCGAUAUGCUUUGGGGAGCUGUACGUAAGCGUUGAUCCAGAGAUUUCCGAAUGGGGGAACCCACUAUCUUUAGUCGGAUAGUAUCCUUACGUGAAUACAUAGCGUGAGGAAGGCAGACCCAGGGAACUGAAACAUCUAAGUACCUGGAGGAAGAGAAAGAAAAAUCGAUUUCCUGAGUAGCGGCGAGCGAAACGGAAAGAGCCCAAACCAAGAAGCUUGCUUCUUGGGGUUGUAGGACACUCUAUACGGAGUUACAAAAGAAAGUUAUAAAUGAAGCGGUCUGGAAAGGCCCGCCAAAGACGGUAACAGCCCGGUAGUUGAAAUGGCUUUCCCUCCAGAGUGGAUCCUGAGUACGGCGGAACACGUGAAAUUCCGUCGGAAUCCGGGAGGACCAUCUCCCAAGGCUAAAUACUCCCUAGUGACCGAUAGUGAACCAGUACCGUGAGGGAAAGGUGAAAAGCACCCCGGAAGGGGAGUGAAACAGUUCCUGAAACCGUGUGCCUACAAGUAGUUAGAGCCCGUUAAUGGGUGAUAGCGUGCCUUUUGUAGAAUGAACCGGCGAGUUACGAUUUGUUGCAAGGUUAAGCGGAAAAAGCGGAGCCGUAGCGAAAGCGAGUCUGAAUAGGGCGCAUAAGUAACAGGUCGUAGACCCGAAACCAGGUGAUCUACCCAUGUCCAGGAUGAAGGUAAGGUAAUACUUACUGGAGGUCCGAACCCACGCACGUUGAAAAGUGCGGGGAUGAGGUGUGGGUAGCGGAGAAAUUCCAAUCGAACUUGGAGAUAGCUGGUUCUCUCCGAAAUAGCUUUAGGGCUAGCCUCGAGGUAAAGAGUCAUGGAGGUAGAGCACUGUUUGGACUAGGGGCCCUUCUCGGGUUACCGAAUUCAGAUAAACUCCGAAUGCCAUGUACUUAUACUCGGGAGUCAGACUGCGAGUGAUAAGAUCCGUAGUCGAAAGGGAAACAGCCCAGACCACCAGUUAAGGUCCCCAAAUAUAUGUUAAGUGGAAAAGGAUGUGGGGUUGCUUAGACAACCAGGAUGUUGGCUUAGAAGCAGCCACCAUUGAAAGAGUGCGUAAUAGCUCACUGGUCGAGUGACCCCGCGCCGAAAAUGUACCGGGGCUAAACAUAUUACCGAAACUGUGGAUGAACCUCUUUAGAGGUUCGUGGUAGGAGAGCGUUCUAAGGGCGGUGAAGUCAGACCGGAAGGACUGGUGGAGCGCUUAGAAGUGAGAAUGCCGGUAUGAGUAGCGAAAGAAGGGUGAGAAUCCCUUCCACCGAAUAUCUAAGGUUUCCUGAGGAAGGCUCGUCCGCUCAGGGUUAGUCGGGACCUAAGCCGAGGCCG